UAGUUCCUAGGGAAAACUGUCAAAUGGCUUUAACUGCCAAGGAUGACAGGAUAUCUCUGCAAUGCCUCCCUGGCAGCAGAGCAGCACAAGAUCCAACCCAGAUCCCUCUGAGAACCAAAUUUCGUGCCUAAAGCCUGAAUACAAACAGGUAUUUAUUUGAGUAUUGUUUCUAAACCCAUUCAUCUUCCCCUCCUCACAGCUCUGAAACAAAACAACUGAGACUGUUUUCAUGUUCAGAAGGAAAGGUACCCCAGUGAAGUGUGUAAUCCAAUUAAUUUGAGUUUUAUUUGACCAUGUCAAAAUCCAUCACAGCCUGGGAGUAAGAUGAAAUUGGGAAAUGAGCAUCAAACAGCAGUGAAGGCAUUAACAGUUGCAGAGCCUUUUGUUUUUAAAGUACAUGUGGUCAACAAAAUCAAAGGCACAUCCACUGAGAGGGGCAGAGGAUGGCCUGCAAACAACCAGGGUUUAAUUACUGCUGGAGGUAAGCCAGGGAUAAGGAUUUGGGUUACAAAACAUUCCAGCUAAAUGGUACAUUAUUAUGAUGACAGAGUUACUCCCACAAAUCCACCCAUCCUGACAUUUGACUCAACGUUAUUUAUGAAAGGUGAUUCCAUAAUUGUGACACAGAAGAGAGCUCUGAUCAACAGCCCUCGAGCUCAGCAACUCCUGCUUUGGCCUCAUGGCAUGAUCCUUCCUCAGCUGCCUGGCCAGGCAGAACUCACCCAGAUCCAGGUUUUCUUCCAGGAUCAGCUCUGAAUGAAACAUACUGUCAAUGAAAUGGGAUCCAAGUGUAUUAAAACACAACCCUCACAUUUUUUUAAGGGACUUUCUCCAUAUUCUUGUAAAGCAGCAGGAAGAACUUGUACCUCCUUAUAAUAUCUCUUCUCCUUAUAAACAGAGGGACAUUCUGGGGCUCUGCAGCUGGAGGUUGUCAGGGCAGCCACAAAAUAGCAUCAAAUGGCAGCAACAAUAUUCCCUUCUCAGCCAUCUCCUGCACUGACCCAGGCCCUGCUGGGCUCCAGGGCUGGAUGUUUCCGUGCUUCUGGAUACACCAAAGCAGAAAGUCUGCCUUGUUUGAGAAGACCUUGUUAUACAAUUUGCUCCAGGAGCUUUCCAGCUGCUGGCCAAGCCAAGAGGAAGAGUGCAACCAGUCUGACCUGGUCAGAAUUUACAAGGCUAAGCUUUAUUGCUUAAAGAGGAUCAGCUUCCCAGCAACCUGUGGUGGGCAGAGUCAGCCAAUACAUGGGCAAAAUGAUGCCAGGUACACAGGACUGGACUGGAAGAAUCAAGCCCAAAUCUGAGAGUGCUCCAACCCAAAUGCAGGGUGUGUCUUUCUUAGAAAGCCUUUUCUUGCCCUGCACAGCACAAAUCAAAUAAAUACAGUUCUUAAACCCCCUGACCCUCCAGUUACAGGGAAGAGACAAA